CCAUCAGAGUGAGACUAAGCCAUGCGAGUUAACGUAUGAAUAAUACGUGGCGAACGGCUCAGUAACACGUAGUCAACAUGCCCAGAGGACGUGGAUAACCUCGGGAAACUGAGGAUAAACCGCGAUAGGUCAUAACUACUGGAAUGUGUUAUGGCCGAAAUCUAUAUGGCCUCUGGAUUGGACUGCGGCCGAUCAGGCUGUUGGUGAGGUAAUGGCCCACCAAACCUGUUACCGGUACGGGUCUGAGAGGAGGAGCCCGGAGAUGGGCACUGAGACAAGGGCCCAGGCCCUAUGGGGCGCAGCAGGCGCGAAACCUCUGCUAAUAGGCGAAAGCUUGACAGGGUUACUCUGAGUGUUNCCCGCUAAGGGAUCUUUUGGC
rnacentral:rRNA from 1 species